ACUGUAGCCCCUGAGAUUCUAUCCAGGGCUACAACCAAAAGACCAGGGGCCAAUGCCCCAUUAGCCCCCCCUAGCAACGCCUCUGACGCACAGGUACCCAGUACUUCCGACCUGCAUCUGUCCACACCAAAGGUUUCUGCAUCUGCCUUCCCACUAUCUGAUUAACACACCCUGUCCUCCAUCCUUAGGGCCAUGCACAGCAAGGCCAACAUUAUUGGCAGAAGGGCGCUGUAUAAAACCACUUUACAUUACAUUACGUUGAUAUACAGGAACCUUAACAGCGCAGCAAAUUUACACAUAAGAGUCGGUGGCUAGUUGGUGGGGUCACUCUGGGUCUGGAGAUCUAAAGAGUACACCCUUUGACUGGAGACGGUAGUCCUUAGGGUGGCUUUGAAGGAGGUCGAGUAAAAAGUGCACCUUAGAUCCAGGCUGCCAGGCACGUAAAGGAGCAUUUGUUGGAUACGCAAAUGUGCUUGAGAAUGGUUAUUCGCUGGAGGGCCAGGUAGAGCGGAUAGGAGCAGCUGUGACUCAUCUUGCAGAUAUUGAAUACGUUGAGGUGAGUUGCAGUGGUGGCCUUAGUAUUGAAUAAGGUGCGAUGCUUGUUACUGUCAAAGUGUGUACUGUUAGGUUGCUUGUGGUGUGGUUAGGACUAAAGCAUUAGGGGUAUUCAAUCAUUUAUGGUGCUGUGUGCUGCUGGAUUGAGCAUGAAAGCAACAUAGGAAAACCAGUGACGAGAGGUAAUGAAUGAUGCUGCCCUAGUGGGCUUGGAAGGAAAUGAUUAUUUCAAUAUCAGCCAGCAUAUCAAGGGGAACAGAACCAAUUCUAUGCCCAGGGCCAGAGGAAACAUUGGUGGAGGUCCAGAACAGUCCAGAUGUGCAAAUCGGUCGUCCGACCUGGUAUAGGGCGAAAGACUAAUGGAACCAUCUAGUAGUUGGUUCUCUCUGAAGAUUCCCUCAGGAUAGCUUGUGCUCAGAAAUCCAAGUUUUAUCUGGUAAAGCGAAUGAUUGGAGGUCUUGAGUAUUCUCAAACUUUAAAUGGGCAAGAAGUUACGGCUCACUGCUUUGGAGCCGGGCAUCGAAGGAGAGUGCCCAGUGGACACUUUUGGUAAGCAGAACUGGCGAUGCCGGAUGAGCUGAAUGCCGGGUUAAGGUGUUGGAUGUCGAUGCUCAUCAGACACCAGAAAAGGUGUUGGUUGAUACAGAUAGCAGGUCGUUGGCCAUGGAAGUUGGAGUCUGUUAAGGAGUCUAUAACAACUCGCCUGCCAAAUCAACUAGCACGGAAAAUGGAUGGUGCAGAAGCGUCUAGCUCAUACCCGGCCAUUGCUGACACUGUGAGCCACAGGGGCUAAGCGGCAACGAGUACAAGGGCUGCUCCGGUGUACACAGAAGCCCAGUGGAGCUGCAGUAGGCUCAGAUCUUGGUGGUGGUAGCAAAUAUUGAAGUGAGAACCUUUAAGGCUGAGGUGGGAAUGGGUUCCAUCUGAACAGCAGUUGAACAUGGGUCAGUUGGUCCUAAGAGGUGGGCGUGCGCUGUUUGGAAGGGACAGGGGCAAUAGCCUCUGUUGCCCUCAGCCGAUUGAAUACCGAGUCUGGUUCAGAUCCCCGAACCCAGAGUGGCGGUGAUGGGCCCCCUCGCGGAGCUCGGUGCAGUAAGGCAAACUAUCCCGGAGAAGACGGCGGGAGCCCCAGGGAGAGUUCUCUUUUUUUUCUUUGUGCGAAGUGCAGGCCACCCUGGAAAGGAUUCAACCCGAGAGAGGGGCCAGAGCCUUGGAAAGCAUUGCGGUUCAGCGGCAUUGGGUCAUCUCUCGCUGGUCUGUGAAAAUCCAGGGGAAAGGGGAUGUAAAUAUUGCGCUGUGUCAUAUCCAUAUCAGGUCUCCAAGGUGAACAGCCACGAUCAUGUUGGAACAGUCUAGGUAAGGGAAGUCUGCAAGUCUGAUCUGUAACUACGGAUAAGGAUUGGCUAUAAAGCUGGGGUGUGAAUUGGGGCUGGGCACGUGCCUCAGCUGGAUGAGGCGUCUUUGCCUCCUACCCCCUAUCUCCCUCCCUGGGGCGUCACCGCCUAUGGAAGCAGGCCGGGCCCUUCCUACGGAUCGACCCAGCUGUGGUGGUUGCCGCUCUGUGCUCCACUGGUUCGGGCACUGCGUUCUUCCUUGGUCGAUGCCUAGCAGCUGGCUUGGAACUACUGGGGACCCGGGGAAUCUGACUGUUUACUUAAAACAAAGCAUUGCGAAUGCCCGCUGCGGGUGUUGACUCAAUGUGAUUUCUCUGCCCAGUGCUCUGAAGGUCAAAGUGAAGAAGUUGAAGCGCGGAAAAACUGUAGGAGUAACUAUGACUCUGAAGGUAGCCUCUCGUUUCUGACUCCAACCACCCAGCACCUGCCGGCCGUGACACGCUCUGGGAACAGUGGCAGGUGGGGAAAUUGACUGGGGUGGUACAUUGAGCGCCUGGAUACUAUGAAAAUGGCAGCGGUGCGCAGUGUAAAUCAACCUAACAUCUGUCAAGCAAUAACGUAGGUGUCCUAAGGCGAGCUUAGGGAGGAGAGAAACCUCCCAUGGAGCAGAAGGGAAAAAGCUUGAUUGAUCUUAAUUUUUAGUAUGAAUACAGACCGUGAAAGCGACUACACACAACCCCUCAGACCCUUUGGGUUUCAAGUAGGAGGUGUCAGAAAAGUUACCACAGGGACAUUCUGAAGCAGAAUUCACCAAGCGCUGGACUGUUAACCCACUAAUGGGGAACGUGAGCUGGGUUUAGACUGUCAUGAGACAGGUUAGUUUUACCCUACUGAUGAUUUGUUGUUUCAGUAGUAAUCCUGCUCAGUACGAGAAGGACCAAAUGUUUAGACGUUUGGUGUAUCUGCUUGGUUAGGAAGCCAAUGGGGUGAAGCUACCCAUCUGUGGGAUUAUGACUGAAUGCCUCCAAGUCAGAAUCACCCCUAAACCUAACUGUUACCACAGUGCUGUGGAUCCCUGGUUGGCCUAGGAUAACCGGCUUCUGGGCCGGCUCGUAGAGCCGCUCACCUCGCAUCUCAAGUGUGAACAGAAGGGGGCCACUUCUCUCGCCCGAAGUGCACCCCAU
rnacentral:rRNA from 1 species